UGCAGCCCUCUCCUGAGACUGUCUCCUGCCACUGGAGGGACCAUAGUUUCAAUCAGGUCCUCAAAAGGACCCUUGACCCCAAAUAACACUAUUACUGAUCCAAAGGAAGCGAAAAUGUAGCAGAAGGCAAUGUUCUGCACUAGAGAAUUAGCCCACUAUCAGGCUCUUUUUCACCAUUUCCCAUAAAAGAAUCAUCAUUUGCUUUCACAGGACUCUGUCACCGCACUCCGAAGAGCCAGGUUUCAUUCCUUUGCGUGUCGGUUUGCUUUUAGGUCUGGUUUAUCUGAUCCGAGUAACAACAGCUUACCGUCAGGCAAAAAAACACAGUUCAGCAGCAAGCAGAGGAGCAUAGUCCUGGCUGGCUGAUGCAGGGUCCUGGGAAUGUCCGCAGCGUGUCAGACCCUGGGAAAGAUUUGCCCCAAGCUCAUCUGCUGCCAAUCUUCCUCUUUUUUUUUUGCUCCCCAAAGCCCCAGUACAUGGUUGUAUGUGCUGGUUGUAAGUCCUUCUGGGUCUUCUCUGCGAGGCACUGCCACACUGUGGCAGCUGACAGACGGGCGGUGUGGUUCCACGGCUGGGCAGUGAACCUGGGCUCCUGAAGCAGUGAACACUAGACUUGAACCACCAGGCCAUCAGGGCUGGCUCCAAAAGUAUCACCUUUAACCUGUGUUUUCUUUAUUAUUGUCUGUACAGCAUUGUUGGAAUGGUCAUCAGACUGAACAGUCCUGAUUUUCCUUUGGUGUCUUAUUUCCUAAGUCUUUCAAUAUUUCUAAGGCUGCCUCCCAAACCUGGCCCACUUUCCACCUCCUUCUUGGCUGUAAAUCUUGGAUUUGUUACAGAAGUAAGUGGUCUGAGCAGAAUAAUUAAUGCCAAUUACUCUCUUAAUUACCCGAAGCUUUCUAAGUCUCGACAUCUAACAAAGAGAAGCUAUGCCUUGUUCUUCUUCCUCAAAGUAGUCUUGGUUAUUUCUGCCCUUUUGCUCUGCCAUCUAAAAUUUAAGAUCUGCUUGUUGUGUUCGGUGAAAAAGGCUUUGUUGGAGCUGCACUGAAUUUAUAGAUUGCUUAGGGAAGAAUUAACAUCUUAACAAGGUCCAGGCUUCUUGUUCCGGAACAUGGUGUGUGUGAAUGAGGCGGUUCCCUUCACUUCCAACUUCAUCAUGCAGAGAUUGCUGAUUUUAGCGAAUGCUGCUUCUGUAUCCCUUGAGGUGAUCGUCUGUUAUUUCUCCUUUUAGUAUUUUAAUGAGGCUAAUUCCAUUAAUAUAUUUUCUAAUGUUAAACUGUCCUCAUAUUUCUGGGAAAAAUAACUUGUGCAAGAUAAGUUUUUUUCCAGUUACUAAUCUUUUCCCUUUAACUUCAUCACCUUUGUUACGUCAUGUGAUUGUCACGUCCUGUGGUGUCCUGAUCUGGUUUGGGCAUCAAGAUGGAGGAUAUUCUAGCACCAUUAACUGAUAUGAAAAAUAUUUUUUCUAUUCUCUAGAACUGUUUUUAUAAGAUAGAGAUUGUCUUUCUCAAAUGCUUGAUUCAUGGCCUGUAAACCAUGUAGCAUAUUUGGGGGUAGAUAAUAGGAGUUAGAUUUUAAGCUCCUUGUUAAGUUUAUCUGGCAAUUAUUGAUGUAGUCAGAUUUUCAAUUUCUUCUUGAAUCGCUUUUCUAAGGUGUGUUUUUCUAGCACAUUGUCUAGGUUGACUCUUUUAUUUCUUUAUCUAGGCUGGUGAUGACAACUUUUUUAAAAAAAAUCUAGGCUUCUAACUGACUUUGAUAAACACCUUGUAUUAUUUUUGCCCCUUUGGCAAUUUGUAUUCUUACCUAAUAGUUAUGCUGUCUGGACCGUGUUUUCUAAAUUUAUUGCCUCAUACGACUGAGUCACCCAACCUUCCCAGAGUCGAGAGAAAUUAGAACUCUCUCUUUUCUUCGCUGACCUGGGACUUUUAUCCUAAUAGAUCAGGUUAGUCUGACAGUGUUUAUUCUUCAUGAAGACUUGCUGGGGGCUUUCAGCAAGGUGUUUCCAAGUUUUUUCUUUCAGUCAUUUUCAAAUGUACAGACAUUUAGUGUAUAGAGUUUACACUCACAUUGCUAUAGUUUUUGGAGGUUUUUACUGUAAAUGUCAUCAAGUAUGCUUUCCAAGAACAAAUUUUAGAAACACAGACACUAGAAUGGCACCGUGAACAGUUCCUUAAGGAGGUGUGUUGUCCAAGAAGCCGUGGUGGGAGGUGGGCAUAGAGAAACGCACACUGGAUCCUGAGUGUGUUUCUGCCGCCCCUGUUACAACAGACCUGUCAAUUACGUCACUGGUCACAAGCACUAACCACUAACUGAUGGCUCGGGGGACGUUCCAAACAACUGAAAGAAGACACCAAGUGCCAUCAGGAGCAAAUUAAAGGAUUAUUAUCGAAUAGAAUGAGAGAGGAGGAUCAUCUCUGGUUUCUUGCCCCACCCCAGACAUUCCAGAGGAAAGGCGACACGGCGGCCGCUGCUCUCUUACAGUGGAUUUGUAUGGCCUUCACACUGUGUCUUUGUGUGUGUGUGUAUUCAAGAGUCUCCCAGUUCAUAACUACUGCAACACAUUCAAUUCUUUUGAAAGGAUUAAUUCAUGAAUUGCCAAACUACAGCCCAAGGGCUGGUCAGUUCACAGCCUGUUUUUGCAAAUAAAGUUUUAUUGGAACACAGCCAUGCUCAUUCGUUUACGUGUUUUCCAUGGCUGUUUUUGCCUUACAAAUGCAGAGUUGAGUAGUUUUG
rnacentral:lncRNA from 1 species